rnacentral:rRNA from 1 species
UACGUAGGGUGCGAGCGUUGUCCGGAAUUAUUGGGCGUAAAGGGCUCGUAGGCGGUUUGUCGCGUCGGGAGUGAAAACCAUGGGCUUAACUCAUGGCUUGCUUCCGAUACGGGCAGACUAGAGGUAUGCAGGGGGAGAACGGAAUUCCUGGUGUAGCGGUGAAAUGCGCAGAUAUCAGGAGGAACACCGAUGGCGAAGGCAGGUCUCUGGGCAUUAACUGACGCUGAGGAGCGAAAGCAUGGGGGAGCGAACAGG